AUCCUAGCUCUUAACCCUUUGCAAGCAUGCCCCACCCGAUCCCUACCGAACUCGAACAGUGAAAUUGCUUGCUGCCACAUGUACUGCUCUCAGCGGGAGACGUGGCAAGAGCCAGGAU
rnacentral:rRNA from 1 species